rnacentral:rRNA from 1 species
AUUGAACGCUGGCGGCAGGCCUAACACAUGCAAGUCGAGCGGAUCGCCGGACGGGGGAGUAAUGCCUAGGACUCUGCCUGUUAGUGGUGGAUAACGUUCGGAAACGGGCGCUAAUACCGAAUCCUCUCGGCUUCGGCUAGGUCGGCUUAGCUAGUGGGUGGGGUAAAGGCCUACCAAGGCGACGAUCCGUAACUGGUCUGAGAGGAUGACCAGUCACACGGGAACUGAGACACGGUCCAGACUCCUACGGGAGGCAGCAUUGGGGAAUAUUGGACAAUGGGCGAAAGCCUGAUCCAGCCAUGCCGCGGGUGUGAAGAAGGUCUUCGGAUUGUAAAGCACUUUAAGUUGGGAGGCGUUACCAGCAGAAUAAGCACCGGCUAACUUCGUGCCAGCAGCCGCGGUAAUUC